rnacentral:rRNA from 1 species
AUUGAACGCUGGCGGCAUGCCUUACACAUGCAAGUCGAACGGCAGCACGGGAGCAAUCCUGGUGGCGAGUGGCGAACGGGUGAGUAAUAUAUCGGAACGUGCCCAGUCGUGGGGGAUAACGUAGCGAAAGCUACGCUAAUACCGCAUACUAUCUAUGGAUGAAAGCGGGGGAUCGCAAGACCUCGCGCGAUUGGAGCGGCCGAUAUCAGAUUAGGUAGUUGGUGAGGUAAAGGCUCACCAAGCCGACGAUCUGUAGCUGGUCUGAGAGGACGACCAGCCACACUGGGACUGAGACACGGCCCAGACUCCUACGGGAGGCAGCAGUGGGGAAUUUUUGGGACAAUGGGCGCAAGCCUGAUCCAGCAAUGCCGCGUGCAGGAUGAAGGCCUCGGUUGUAAC